GACGAACGCUGGCGGCGUGCCUAAUACAUGCGAGUAGAACGCACAGUUUAUACCGUAGCUUGCUACACCAUAGACUGUGAGUUGCGAACGGGUGAGUAACGCGUAGGUAACCUGCCUGGUAGCGGGGGAUAACUAUUGGAAACGAUAGCUAAUACCGCAUAAUAUUAAUUAUUGCAUGAUAAUUAAUUGAAAGGUGCAAUUGCACCACUACCAGAUGGACCUGCGUUGUAUUAGCUAGUAGGUGAGGUAACGGCUCACCUAGGCGACGAUACAUAGCCGACCUGAGAGGGUGAUCGGCCACACUGGGACUGAGACACGGCCCAGACUCCUACGGGAGGCAGCAGUAGGGAAUCUUCGGCAAUGGACGAAAGUCUGACCGAGCAACGCCGCGUGAGUGAAGAAGGUUUUCGGAUCGUAAAGCUCUGUUGUAAGAGAAGAACGGGUGUGAGAGUGGAAAGUUCACAUUGUGACGGUAUCUUACUAGAAAGGGACGGCUAACUACGUG
rnacentral:rRNA from 1 species